AUGUUAUUUUUGCAAGAUAUCACAGUUCUGUUUCAAUUGCAGGUUGCCACAGUCCCUGAAACUCAUUAUCCUUCACUACUGGUGAAAGAAAGAAACAACCUAAGAGCGAAAUAUAUACUGGAUUUCAAGGACGCUCCUACCAGCCUAGUUCUGCAAGAUGGGGAGGAGGAGGCAGAUUCCUCCUUGACACAGCCUGAGAGACAAACCCCUGACUGCAGCCAUAGUUGCACCAGGAAAGCAGCACUUGUCUUGGCAAAGCUUCUUUGUGCCAUACAGAGCAAUUUUCUUAUGCUCUUGUGCAAAGCAGAGCCCUCCACAGCUGAUGUUUGCCAACUCACAAAAACAUGAUACAGCUAUUUAAGACAAGGGUUACAGAGUCAUGUGCUGAAUGUGGGAAGGAUGUAGCUGUCCCCAUUGAAAUAUGGCUGGUGCUGACAUUCCAGCUCUUGUGAGAAUCACCGUGCUCCUACACUCUUCCAUGACCACAUUUGGGCAGGACUUCAUUUUAGAUCUUAUCAAGUCUUUCUUCCCACAAGAAAAGAUUUUGCAAAACUGUCAAGACUUUUGUUUCUACAUUUACUCCUUCAAAUACUUCAGAUAUUCUGAAGGUUUCAAUUAUUUUAGAAUAAGUGCAAUGCAACAAAGUUUUGACAGUCCAAAAUAUUUAUUUGCACAGUACUUCUUGCUGUUAUAAUUUAUAGCCCUGCAUGGGUGUUUUCACUCUGCUUAAUUCAUAGUAAUGCCAUAACUUGAAACACAAUCUUUGGAUGUCAGUGUUUCAAUAAGAAUAAACAAACUUGAGCAAUAAGAAUGCA
rnacentral:lncRNA from 1 species